UCCAACGUGGAUACCCCAGGAGGUCACUCUCCCUGGGCUCUGUCCAGGUGGCGUAGGGGAGCAUAGGGCUCAGCCCCGUGAUGUACAGUCCCUUUCCACAACGUUGGAGAUGAAGCUGGGCCUUGAGUCUGCACCUGCAUAUUCCUACAGCUUCUCAGAGUCCUGUGGACAAUGACUGAGGAGACAAACCAUGCAGGAAACAUCC
rnacentral:snoRNA from 1 species